CUUAAGAGAGCACUGGGAUUCUGAGCUGUGGAAUUUUCCACUCAUUUAUUCUUUCAUUUUCCAUCUUCCUUUGCCUUCAAGUGUCAAUUGGCUCCUCUCAGUCACAGCUGUACAAAUCACAGGACCCCUUUUUUUUUAAUUGGCAGAAGACAUAUACAUUAUUCAUCUAUUCAUUUCCAUCUAAUGGAAAUCCAAAAAAGACAAUUGUAUUUUCCAACAAAACAUUUAAAGCUGCUUUUUCCCCCAUGAGAAACGGGACAGAAGACUCCAUCCAUGGUCUAUUGGACAUGGCCCCAUCUGCCCAGGAGCUCUGAAACUACUGCAGCCAACAUGUGCCCAUGCCAGGAGAUAUCUCUGCAUGCUGAAGAUGACAGAAUGAAAAGAUGGUGACCUCUCAGUCUUUGAGGAGAUUAAAAGGCUAAGAAUUAAUUCUAGGUCUGCUCUAUCUGUAGACUUUCUAUUAUAUGAGAUACUAAGUAUCAUUAUUUAAGCCACUUCUAAUUGCAUAUUGUGUUUCUUACAAUAAACAGUUUUCUGCAACUGACAACCUUUCUGGGUGGUACCUAGCCUCCAGAAAGGCCCCAAUGAUCCUUACCUCCUGGUAUUCAUGUCUUUGUAUAAUCCCCUUCUACAUUGAAUCCAGGCUUGCUUUUGUGACCGGGAGAAUAUGGUGGAAAUAUAAGUGUGACUUCCAAGUCUGCUUUAUAAAGACAUUGCAACUUCUGCCUUGAUCACUCUUGGAUAACUUGCUCUGGAAUCAGCCAGCUACCAUGUCAUGAGGACACCAGACGGGCUUGUGAAGAAGCCUUCUUGGAGAAGAGUCAACUGGCCAGUACCAACUUGCCAGCAUGUGAGUGUGUG
ensembl:lncRNA